CGGCACCGUGUCGCUUCAGCUGCACUCACACAGCCGCAACACGAGCACAUCGGAAAAGUGCAUCUCUAGCCUACAGCAUCGCCAAAUCCAUCCGAUCACUACAAUCACAACAGUGCCGCGUUUCACCGAGAGGACACACAUAACCGGCGACGUCGUGGACCGAAAUCGGAGACCUGGCUCCUUAAAAGCUCUUCGUAUGAUCCGGACUGCUGUGCCCCAUUCACUGGGCUUUCUUUUAGGUGAUCGGGAAAUAUUCGGUACGUUUUCUUCAAACUUCAGCCGACAAAGACUGCACACAAGCCGGAGCGCGGUUGGGCGCGGGGAAGCAUGGAAUAGACAGAAGUGAACGGUUAAGAGAACCCCUGCUUCCUUGUCUAGUUUAAAGACGCAGUAAUCAGCAGCUCGGUCGGGUCAGAAAUCUUCAAGCAAGACUCGUGUGGACGGAUAAGGACCGCAAGAUGUCCAUUCCGUAAAGGAGCUGGCCUCCUGCAGAGGAAAACCUUGGCUCAGUCCUACAGACUCUCCCUAAGAGGCAUGGAGAAAAUGGGCGGAAAUGAGAUGGAGGGAUAUCAUUCUCCUUCUGGCUCAAAGGCAAACAACCCCUUCUCUUCCUCUUCUACAAUACAUUUGCCCACUGGAAUGGCACUCCGUUUGUUAAUUACACCUUUAAUUACUUUCGAGUUGUCUGAAAAGUUUGUAUUUAUUUCCUUUCACUGGUAAUUAAAUGCUCAUUGUCUAGGAUUGGACAGUGUCCCAAUAUCCCAUUUCUCAUCUGUCUUCUUGUCCUUGUACUUGUCCAGUCCUCUCUCAUAUGUAUGUCAAGCAGGCCCUCCCAUUGCCUGAUUAAAACCUCUUGAACUGCAUUUGCCCACUGAUCAGUGUGUGCUCAAAUGGCUGUCUGAUGGCAGAUUGAUGAUGCAUUGAGGCUGUGUUUCAGUGAGUGAGUGAUGUGCAUGUCAGCGAAGGUGUGAGGACACACAUGCACACAGAUGCACAGAUGUACACACACAUCCUCUGGCUGUUGACAAAUUGAUUGGAAUGGAGGUGGCACCAGCUGGAAGAGGUAUUGUUCAGGCCUCCUGCUCUUUUCCUCUUCCUAUGUGCUGAUGUGGCCAUUUCACCCUGCUGAUGUGUGUGUGUGUGUGUGCGUUUGUUUGAGAGAAAGAAUAGAGGGAAAUAAUAGGACUGAACACAUUGAUCUAAGGUGGAAGAUUCAGUGUGUGUGUGUGUGUGUGUGUGUGUGAUCACAAAAGCUUUGAUGUCUCAAUGGUGUAAGAACUUUGCAAAAUGAGAGAAUCUUUAGAACUCUUUUUUGUCUUUUUUUUUUUUUAGGGACAAGUGAAUACGUGGCCGUAUGUAUAUAUGCAUAUGCCAUGUUUCCUCUCAGACCAUUUCAUGAUCGUGAUUCAGUUCACACUCUUCUCCAUGCUAUACCAAUUCAAAUGGUGAAGUGAACUUCUUGUCUGUCAUCAAGAUUACUACCUAAUCUUAUCCAGAAAUUUCUGUGGAUUAUCAAACGCCUGUAAGAUAGUAGUACAUAUGAUAAAUAUGGUCUUACAUUUUAUGUUUUUGCUGUGCAGGGAAAUCUCUGGCUAGUGGAUUUGGCUAGCAGAUUACCUGUUGGACGCCCACUCGUCCCUCACAAACUGAAAUGCUCAACACACACGCUCCUUAAUGACAGGCUGUGGACUCCCAGACCAAAUUACAGGCAUUAGUUUGGUGGAGAGGACACUCUGUUUUGCAAGCCAAGAAAUGCUUGAUAGUAUCCAGUCCAACAGCAUGAUCUUACAGCCAGAAUGGGUUUUUAAAAUUUAUUUAUUUUUUAUUUUUUAAAUUUUUUUUUUAAAGCUCCAACUCUUUUUAGGAAAUGAUUUUUCCAGGAUUUUUUCCCCAUGACUUACAUGACAGCUGUUGCUUACAGAAAGUCACUCCGGCCUUAAUAUUAAGGUCGGCGAUACAGCUCCUAACACCCACUGAGACACACAUACAAAAAACUUCCUCAACCAGUUAUCAUUUAACCCCAAAAACUAUACAACAAAAAAAAAAACUAUCACAGUUUAUAGGAAACAAAAACCAUACCGGGUUACAUAGGUAAUGUUCAAGAUGUUCAAAAUGAUAGUGAAGUUCAGUCCAUCGAUCCCAACCCAAGAAAAGAAAAAUAAAGUGUAAACAGCAAUUUCAUACCUAAGUCAUACCUAUGCCAAUCUCUUAGAAAGGUCUGCCUAGUGAAAUACUUCUGGUAAAAUAAAUGAAUUCAGGUAGACUGAUGGGUCAUAUAUAUUACAAUGCAAAGAAGCAUGCUAAGUAUGUGAACAUGCUCAAUAUCAGUGGUUUAAUAAGCUUACUUGAGACAUUUCUAGUACAAUGCAUGACAUUGUAUUCUUCUUGCCCCAGAUGUUUUCUAUGACUAGAAAACUAAUCUAUAAAUUUCCAGGUUUAUCAGAAUGUACUAUUAAUUAUAAUUUUAAAAAAUACUGUAGUGCUUACAAAUAAUAUUAUAGGGUUGUUUUGCUAUGAUGUGGUCUUACACUAGACCAGGG
ensembl:lncRNA